UACGAAGGGGGCGAGCGUUGUUCGGAAUUACUGGGCGUAAAGGGCGCGUAGGCGGCCUGUUAAGUCGGACGUGAAAUCCCCGGGCUCAACCCGGGAACUGCGUCUGAUACUGGAUGGCUUGAGGUUGGGAGAGGGAUGCGGAAUUCCAGGUGUAGCGGUGAAAUGCGUAGAUAUCUGGAGGAACACCGGUGGCGAAGGCGGCAUCCUGGACCAAUUCUGACGCUGAGGAGCGAAAGCCAGGGGAGCAAACGGG
rnacentral:rRNA from 1 species